GCAGUGUGCCGCACAGCCCAGCUGGAAGAUUGGCCUGUGUCUCUUUGUAGAAAAUGUCCAUUUUGUAUUGAUUGAGACAUUUGGCGCUGCAGAAUUGAAGCCGCCUUUCCCCGUCCCCAAAAUCCAGCAUGAUUUAAAGAUGGAUCUAUACAAACAGGAGGAUAUCCCGGGAGUAUAUCUGCCCUCCUAUCUCCACUCUUCAAAGCUUUCCCUGAUUGUAAACAAUGGUGGCCUGCUAGCACAUGACUGGGAGAACACCCACGUGGCAAAUGU